GCGGCUGCCCUCGGCCUCUUGCGUGCCUGCCGCCCGCGCGGCUCCGCCGUCCCCGCCCGCCACCGCUGGAGCGGCGCGGGGUGACAACCGGAGGGACGGUCCCGGGGUCUGUGGCCUCUGAACCCCAGGGUCCCCCAGGCAGAAACGCGUCCCUAGCCCUGGCCGAGGGAAACCCUCCUCAAGACAGAGCCGGGGCUCCCCUCAGGGCCCGCGCCGGCCUCUCCCGCUUUCUGUGACUGGAAAGGGUGGAACGGGCACCAAACUGGUGGCGAAGUGAAUCAUUGUGACCUUUAUUGAUUGCAUUUGUGCUGCAGAAGGAGCCAUACAGUGCUGACCAUCACUACCCUGCUAACACAGCUGCUGCGUAUGUGCACAAAGCCUGGUGGAUUUGGGGAAAAAGUGGUACCCUCCAUCUGCCUGAGAGUGGUGGGGCCUCAGAAGAGCUCUCAUGCUGCAUAAGGCAGAGCUCUGCAGCCAUUCCCAAGCGCUCUGAUGGGAUAAUCACCGCUGCCGACAGACUUCCUCCAUCCUUUUCUACUGCCUUUUUUGCUACAGCACAACCAGGCCUACAGGUCUUGGGUUCAGCCCUGAGACAAGUGUAGCAGAGCUUUAUCACAGCAACAGUUUUUCAAGGAAAUAAGCCAGUCAGUGCGUAUUUAUUGUCCAUAUAGCACUUGCUUUCUGGGGCUGUGUCCUGGUUUCAGCUGGGAUAGAGUUAAUUUUCUUUCUAGUAGCUGGUAUAGUGCUGUGUUUUGGGUUCA